AUCGCUUCUCGGCCUAUGGCUAAGAUCAAAGUGUAGUAUCUGUUCUUAUCAGCUUAAUAUCUGAUACGCUCCGCAUGCGGAGCCAGUAUAUUAAACUGAUUUUUGGGAAUUGACAGAAGGUGUAGGGGCUUGCUCCACUUCCGUCACGGGUUGGCCUUGCAUUGCAGUACAGCAAGGAUCGGCCCACAUUUU